GUCCACGCCGUAAACGAUGGAUACUAGCUGUUGGGAGCAAUUUCAGUGGCUAAGCGAAAGUGAUAAGUAUCCCACCUGGGGAGUACGUUCGCAAGAAUGAAACUCAAAGGAAUUGACGGGGGCCCGCACAAGCGGUGGAGCAUGUGGUUUAAUUCGAUGAUACGCGAGGAACCUUACCAAGGCUUAAAUGUAGAUUGACCGACGUGGAAACAUGUCUUUCGCAAGACAAUUUACAAGGUGCUGCAUGGUUGUCGU
rnacentral:rRNA from 1 species